rnacentral:rRNA from 1 species
CAACGGGGAUGUUAGCUUGCUAAUACCUGCCGGCGACCGGCGCACGGGUGAGUAACGCGUAUGCGACCUGCCCGUCACAGGGGGAUAAUCCGGAGAAAUCCGGUCUAAUACCGCAUAAUAUCGUGAGUCUGCAUGGAUUUACGAUUAAAGGAGUGAUCCGGUGACGGAUGGGCAUGCGUGACAUUAGCUAGUCGGCGGGGUAACGGCCCACCGAGGCGACGAUGUCUAGGGGUUCUGAGAGGAAGGUCCCCCACACUGGUACUGAGACACGGACCAGACUCCUACGGGAGGCAGCAGUGAGGAAUAUUGGUCAAUGGGCUUACGCCUGAACCAGCCAAGUCGCGUGAGGGAAGACUGCCCUAUGGGUUGUAAACCUCUUUUGUCAGGGAGCAACGCCGGCUACGUGUAGCCGGACUGAGAGUACCUGAAGAAAAAGCAUCGGCUAACUCCGUGCCAGCAGCCGCGGUAAUACGGAGGAUGCGAGCGUUAU